rnacentral:lncRNA from 1 species
UGGAGGCACGCGCAGACCAGAUUUGAGGAGACAAAGCUCGGGGUUAUCUUCCUUUUCUCCCAAAAGGCGUCUCCUUGACUUGUUUACGCACAGCUAAUGGCGGUCUGGAAUUCACACCUACGUCUAUGUGUCUGUCUCAGGCACUCUCGCGGCGUCACGUUAGUUCUCGCAGCCUUCACGGCGGCCAUCAGCGCGUUUUACAUCGCCCGACCUCAUCGCUACCCCGGGGGUCGCUGAGGCGGGUGUAAGCUUUAUACUCUGACCCUCGCCGCGACCCUGUCUUACAGCCCUCGAAAACCGAGUCGCUCCCCCCAAAACUAUGGAGGUGUUUGGCUUCCUCUCGAAGGGGGCGGCGAGGGGACCAGCAGGAAAGGCAAUCCAUGAGAGGAAGCAACUGUUGAUACACAUGUCGAGCUUCAGCGUGGAAAUUAAGUUCUGAAACGGAGUUGAGACAUGGAGAUAUGAAAGUUAUUAACUGUUAACCGCGUACGUCAGAUCUUGGUGAGAUGGUGUUUGUUUGGAUUUUCUUGUUGGUUUUUUUUUUUUUUUUUUUUAAUAUUCCAUGGCGAUGAUGAUGAUCCUAGAAGCUUCUGAGGCUGGUCCUGAAUGGUGGGUGGAGUCCUCCCAUCGCCAGGGGCAUUUUCACAACUGUGGUGGUGGUUACGGUUGCUGUUGUCGCCCCCUGAACUAAGAGCGUCGUCUUUCUUCUGUUCUGUCUUCUCCUUUUGUCUCUCUCUCUUUAUCUCACGCGUGCAUGCACACACACAAACACACACGCGCGAAUACAUGUACAUACAACAUCAACUAGGAUGAUGCACAUGUUCACAGACAUAUGCACCAGAGGGAGGACGAGAGAGAGAGAGAGAGAGAUGAAGGGGGGAGAGAAGGAGGACGGGGAGGCUGGAAGGCCAGCCGUCAAUCCAAGUCCGUUACACUCCCAAGUGCCUGUGAAUAGCGGGGCGAUCCUAGCGGCACCUCGCCUCCCUGCUCCAACCGUUAGUGAGAAGAGCGCGGGGCCGCGCCACAGUACCUUGGAUCAUAGGGACAAGCCAGUGGAGGGCCCGCCUCGUUCACUCCUCACAUUAACCUCACCUGCUGGAGGGAGAGAGAAGCCGCCCACUUGUGUUCCUCGCGGAUAGCCACUGCUACUACCUGUCUACGACCGCCAGCGGCACCAGCUCUCUCUUUCUUUUCUCUCUCUCACUCACACUCGCACACCACAUACACCCCUAACACCCACGCUUGCCGCCGGCGGGUUCUCACACAUACACCCGCCCAGGUGUCUGAGACUCCAGGAAAGCCAGACAGGUGCUGCGCGGUCGACGGUGUGGACAGAACCCUCUUCGCUUCGCCAGGCGACUGAUGGCCUUUCGGAGACGAGUCUGGUCCCAGGACCCGCUUUUCGGUUGACGAUCGGUACUGGACUUUGAUGAGAAUGACAACGGUGUCCGGUCACGGGCUUUGAUCUUCCACGGUUCGAAGUCCACAAGCCUCAAAUCAAGGACAGAUAUUUUUGCGAGUGCCACAAGGAUACUGCCGUGCACCUGUCACCAGAGGAAGGCGUGUGGCGACACAGGGUUACACACAGGUCCUGGAGUGGAGUAUAUCUUGACCUGUCUACCAGGUGACCCUACAGGUCUGGUACCGUCCUUCUUGUACUUCUGUGGUGUGUGAAUAUCUCCGCAGUUUCCCCAGUAUUUUGGAAUUCGGGAUAUCUUCAGAAACUUUGUGAAAAGAACCUGGUCUGGAUUCCAGAGCGUGGCAGUGAUUACUGAAGCUGACGGGAGAGCAUGAGCGCAACGCCGGCGAUAGUUUCCACUGCGGCCAAAGCCUGGGCAAACAAGGCGGGCUUUUUAAUCUACAUGAGUCACUGAGGGGAGCAAAAGUUAAUCCUGCCGCAGCCCUCCCCCUGCCCCAGCAGCCUGACCCCCCCUAACCAACCGACCAACCCCCCUUGAGGAAGCCUGCUGAUCGAAGCCUGGCACAUGAAAGACCUUGGCAGGGGGUGACAACGCACCUCGCAAGGUCCUCCCCUCGUAUGAGGGUUUGCUCACAACAAACAGGCGCAUACCAGGUCCGAGUCCACACUGCUCCGGGCUGUGAAGGCGCGAGGGUUGCAGUGGUUUCGAAGGAAGCCACGAUACAAGCAUUGCUCUCUGUUCACUGACACAAUCCUCGGGUGGAGAUGGACUCCGUAUCAUCACCUUGGCUGGACCUCGGCGUCCUGACGGCUCCCGCCAUCGAGAACUUGUCCAGAGUCUUCUGAUGCAUCUUGGGCCUGCUGGUGAUGCGCUUCCACCCGACAGUUAUCCCGUUAUCUGGGCAGGGGACAAUCGGACGUUGGCGGGUGCAAGCCGCUAAAAGGGUGGCCACUGGUUUGAGG